ACACCCCAAGCACGUUCCCCUCUGUUCUCCCCUCGCCCCUUCCCCCACUGCAUCUCUCCAGGCACCGUCCCUGUCUCCAUGACAACAGUCUUCUAUUUCCACCCCCCCCCCCCGCCAUUCCCAUCACCAUUCUACUAGUCAAGUCAAUGUCCCUCUUUCUCCUCCCCAAUACGCCCAGGACUCUCCACCCUCUGGCACCUGUCUUUCCUCCCCCCUCCCUCCACGCGAACCCACCCACUAAUCUAGUGAUUUGAGACUCGAGGCAAUUGUCCAAAUACGCCGUAUCUGGUAAUUGAAACAAAAGUGGAGGACUUGAAUUAUCCGCAUAAUUGCCCCUCAAUCUUCUCUUUGCUACUAAAGACCUACAGUGGCGAUGUCAACUUGUCCUUUCUCUUCAGAGCCCCUUUCAUUCGCAUCCACCUGCCCCCUGCUCCUUAAUACAAACCUGGUAUCAGCUCCCCAGGAUCCCUCUCCACCCCGCCCUCAUUCCCAGCCAGACCGCCCCCACUAUUCUCCGAUUCCCACUGCAGCGGAUUAAUUUGCGGGGACCAGAGGGGGAUCGAGCUCAGUACAUGUGGCCGAGGAGUUAGUCCGGCUGGACGGAGGCUCCCGAAUGCACAGAGUUGGCGCCUUGCGCCGAGACUGCGCCAUAUCUCCAGUUGGCACAAGCCGAGGCCCGCUCGCUCGAAGCCCGAGGACUGCAGUCUUCAGCGAAGUCGCCGCCGAACCCGCAGCCGUUUGGCCCGAGGCAGCGCGUUUCCAGUCGGGAUCUAUUCUGUCCGUUCGGCGCGGAUAAAGGGCAGGACCGGGGCGGGGGGUGGGGCUGGGAGGAAAAAGUAAAGAAUUGGCAGCGGACUAAGCUCAAAGAUACUCUGAGGCAAGGGGAAGGAGGAAAGGAGGCGCUGUCAGAAGAGAUCUCUCCCACUUUCUCUCUUGACAAGAAGAAUGUGGGUGCCUCGUCUAACCUCCAGGGCAUUAAGACUUUGGCGCUAGGUGUUGAGACCCUGUCUCUUGAAAUCUCUCUCCUAACGAAAUAUCUGCAGAUUGCGUAAAAAUCUCCUUUAGGAGCCAAACAAGUUGCUUGAGAAAGGCCAAUAGACAGCAAAGUUCAUAAUCAUAAAAAGUCAUUCACGGUUACAAAUAGUUUCGACGGACGGUGCCAGCGAUACAGCUGUUUCUGUUUAAGCUUAAAUACUUUCCAACAGUUUGGGCAGUAAAAAUAAAGUAGACCUCAACAGCCU
rnacentral:lncRNA from 1 species